UACCUCAUUAACCAGAAGGAAUCCCUUCUGGUCAAUGAGGUUGUUAUAUAUACCUCAUCAACCAGAAGGAAUCCCUUCUGGUCAAUGAGGUU
rnacentral:miRNA from 1 species